GAUGAACGCUGACAGAAUGCUUAACACAUGCAAGUCGAUGGGGAAGUGGUGCUUGCACCCUGGUAACCAUGGCGGACGGGUGAGUAACGCGUAAGGAACUUACCUGCGGGACCGGGAUAACAGCAGGAAACUGCUGACAAGACCGGAUAAGGUCAUUAAGCUGCAUAGCUUAGUGAUGAAAGGAGACGCCUGCGGAGAGCCUUGCGUCCUAUUAGCUAGUUGGAGGGGUAACGGCCCACCAAGGCGAAGAUAGGUAGCCGGCCUGAGAGGGUGGACGGCCACAAGGGGACUGAGAUACGGCCCUUACUCCUACGGGAGGCAGCAGUGGGGAAUAUUGGACAAUGGGGGCAACCCUGAUCCAGCAAUUCUGUGUGCACGAAGACGGUUUUCGGAUUGUAAAGUGCUUUCAGCAGGGAAGAAGGAAGUGACGGUACCUGCAGAAGAAGCGACGGCUAAAUACGU
rnacentral:rRNA from 1 species